rnacentral:rRNA from 1 species
UGGGGAAUUUUGGACAAUGGGCGAAAGCCUGAUCCAGCCAUGCCGCGUGAGUGAAGAAGGCCUUCGGGUUGUAAAGCUCUUUUAGUCGGAAAGAAAGAGUUGCAAUGAAUAAUUGUGAUUUAUGACGGUUCCGACAGAAAAAGCACCGGCUAACUACGUGCCAGCAGCCGCGGUAAUACGUAGGGUGCGAGCGUUAAUCGGAAUUACUGGGCGUAAAGGGUGCGCAGGCGGUCUUGCAAGUCAGAUGUGAAAGCCCCGGGCUUAACCUGGGAAUUGCGUUUGAAACUACAAGGCUAGAGUGCAGCAGAGGGGAGUGGAAUUCCAUGUGUAGCAGUGAAAUGUGUAGAGAUGUGGAAGAACACCGAUGGCGAAGGCAGCUCCCUGGGUUGACACUGACGCUCAUGCACGAAAGCGUGGGGAGCAAACA